UUCCUGCCUACCUGAGGCCUUCUGAAGAAUACAUGGGGAAAUUGUAUUUGGUGUUAGAUUGAUAGCUUUUAUGACCGGAGAAGAAUCAGAGUAAGCUUCCCCUUGCUGCUAGUCCCUGUACUAAAAGCUUUGCCAGGUGCUUGAAAGGCAGUACAGUUCCAGCAUAGUACAUACUGUGACCACAAGCUUGCAUACUUCUGGACUCAUC